rnacentral:misc_RNA from 1 species
UGGCUCUCGCAUCGAUGAAGAACGCAGCGAAAUGCGAUAAGUAAUGUGAAUUGCAGAAUUCAGUGAAUCAUCGAAUCUUUGAACGCACCUUGCGCUCCUUGGUAUUCCGAGGAGCAUGCCUGUUUGAGUGUCAUGAAAUUCUCAACUGCCCCAGGCUUUGUGGCCUGCGGGUGAAGUUGGACUUGGAGGUAUGCUGGCGCAUGAAUGGGCUUUUGUGCCCCGUCUCGCUUGUUGGCUCCUCUCGAAUGCAUGAGCUUUCCAAUCCUUGGCAAAGUAUCGUCGAUGUGAUAAUUGUCUACGUCGCCUGAGAAAGCCGAAAAGGGGAAAUCUUUGAUCACGCUGGGGUGACCUGCGUCUGACAAAUUCGACCUCAAAUCAGGUAGGACUACCCGCUGA